GCCCGCUUAGCUCAGUGGUAGAGCGCGUCACUUGUAACAGAUCAUCUGAUCUGCUGAGAUGAUGAGGUCGGUUGUUCAAUCCAGCCAGUGGGCA